UGGCCUCGAACUCAGAAAUCUGCUUGCC
rnacentral:piRNA from 1 species